rnacentral:rRNA from 1 species
AGAGUUUGAUCCUGGCUCAGGAUAAACGCUGGCGGCGCACAUAAGACAAAUGCAAGUCGAACGAACUUAACCCAUUCUUUUAGAUUGGGAGCGGUUAGUGGCGGACUGGUGAGUAACGCGUAAGUAACCUGCCUGUUAGAGGGGAAUAACAAUGAGAAAUCAUUGCUAAUACCGCAUAUGCCAUAAUCAUCACAUGAUGGAAGUGGGAAAGGAGUAAUCCGCUAACAGAUGGACUUGCGUCUGAUUAGAUAGUUGGUGGGGUAACGGCCUACCAAGUCGACGAUCAGUAGCCGGACUGAGAGGUUGAACGGCCACAUUGGGACUGAGAUACGGCCCAGACUCCUACGGGAGGCAGCAGUCGGGAAUAUUGCGCAAUGGAGGAAACUCUGACGCAGUGACGCCGCGUAUAGGAAGAAGGUUUUCGGAUUGUAAACUAUUGUCGUUAGGGAAGAGAAAGGACAGUACCUAAGGAGGAAGCUCCGGCUAACUACGUGCCAGCAGCCGCGGU